rnacentral:rRNA from 1 species
UACGGGGGGGGUAAGCGUUGUUCGGAAUUACUGGGCGUAAAGGGCUCGUAGGCGGCCAACUAAGUCAUACGUGAAAUCCCUCAGCUUAACUGGGGAACUGCACGGGAAACUGGAGGGCUUGAGUUCGGGAGAGGGAAGCGGAAUUCCGGGUGUAGCGGUGAAAUGCGUAGAUAUCCGGAGGAACACCGGUGGCGAAGGCGGCUUCCUGGACCGACACUGACGCUGAGGCGCGAAAGCUAGGGGAGCAAACGGG